UGAACACAGUGUGAGACCUUCACCUGGCAGAAAUCAACGCAGGUCCAUUGAAAUCAGUAGAGUUACUCAAAUUAAAACCAGCUGAAGAGCUGGCCUGUCAAAUCCCUGAAAGCUCUUGUUAGGGCAGCUACCAAAAUCACCUUGGAAUUUGAGUGGGAGAAAAUGCAAGAAGGGGUCUCAAAACACCACUGCAGAGAACUCAAGGAUUUGGGGCAAGAUUUUUCAGAAGAGCUCAUGUCAUAUUUAGGCUCCUCGGAACGUAACCUUCUGAGGCUUCGCCCUGAGGAGGGGACUUUUGUCUGCUGAUUACCUUUUCCCUGGAUCCCAAGAUCAAAGACCAAACUGUAUAAAGGAGUGACUCACAGACCUCUAGGUGCUCUUGUUCUGAGCAAAAGUUAUCAACUUUUGACCACAGAAAACUCCUUGCUUUGAAGGACUGACUUCUACCAGAGCCCUUGUUGGA